rnacentral:tRNA from 1 species
UAAAAUAAAGCUUCUAACUUUAAAAUAGAGCAUUAAAAUGUUCAUAUUUCUU